GUCGGAGUGGCGGAAUUGGCAGACGCGCCAGGGUGAGGGCUCGUGCCCGUUAAGGGCGUGGGGGUUCAAGUCCCCCCUCCGACA
rnacentral:tRNA from 1 species